UUUUUACCUUGAGAAUUCUUCAAAUUUUAAUUUUCACAAAGAAGAAAAAUAUAUCAAAUAAUCUAAUCUAGCGCUACACAAUGUAUAGAUUCUAGAUCUAGUUUAUAGAUCUAGAUCUAGCUAGACUAUUAAAUGAUUACUUCAAGGACAAAAGAGCUCUAUUAAUAUUGAAUAUUAUUCUAUUUAUUGACAACAUUGUAAAAGUAUUUCAAAUAAAUGUCGGACUCGUCAAGCAAUUUCAAUGCUGCAUGGCCGCCUCCACAUUUUGUUACUCCACCUCAGAAUUUGCUAAAUCCAUCUCCAAACAGAUGUUUGAUACAAACUCAAUGUCCACCAAAUGCAAUCUUCGGCUUUGCAGACUUUGCAUUUGAGCCGCCAUAUGCAUAUAUGCCACUACACCUAGCAAGGCCACAGCCUCAGGUCAGACAAACACUUCUAGCCCCAGGGCCCCCGUCAUCUAAUAUGGAAAAAAACCAAGUUCCAGGUAGAGCCAUACCAGAAGAUCAGAAAUGCAAGAAGCCAAGGAUCAGGUUGGAAGAAGUUACUGAUGUUGAGAGCGUCACUGAAAGGUUUUGUAAAAUUGCUAUGAACCAUGGCUUGACUGUUGCCAUAACAACCGAGCAGAAAGUCAGUAAUGAAGUGAAUGUCAGUAAGGAGCUAGUUGUUGUCAAAGAAAAUGAGAAAAAAACUGAUUCGUCUGGUUUGUUGGAGUCGUUACAAGGGAAAUCUGAGGCUACAGCUCCGAAGGAGUCUCCUGAUGUAGUUGUCAGCUCUACUGACAAGGCUAAUGAAGCCCAGUCUGAUGAUUUAGCAGAGAAUGUGGAAUUCUUGUCUCUGACUGCUGAAACAUCAAAAAUGAACCUACUGAAUCCAGACAUCCCCGAAUUCAUUCCCUGCAGCCCAUCUAAAACUGAGAAUGUGAAAGCCAGUAAGACUAUAGAAGCCACUUGGGUGAAGUGCGAGGACACUGCACCCAAAAAGAGAGCCUUAAAUGUUCCAGGGUGUGUGACUCUAAAGCUUCCGCCCCGGCCUGCUUUAUUUGGAACCAAGUCCUCUGCCGAUGCUCAAGUUCAAACUGUGGUGUCAUUUUUUGAAUCUGAAUUAAAUGAAACAUCCAACAAUAAAGUCCAGGCUAGCCCACCACUUAGAGAAACCUCUGAUGCUACAGUCCAGUCUGAUUCAUCUUUUCUAUCUGUUAAAGAAAUGUUGGAUGCUCAUGUGCAGGUGAGCCCAGUGCCGAAAGAAACAUCUGAGGCCUGUAUACAGUCAGACUUAUCAUGGUCAUCUGUCAAAGAAACUAGUAAUGCAGAAAUACAGACAUGUGAUACAGAAACUGGACCAAACCUUUGUGAGGAAUGCAAGAAAAUCAUCAUUGCCUCUGACCAGCGAAGCACGACUCAGCUUUUAAAGAAGGUUACCCCUGAACACAAACUCAAGUUUACAGCCAGACUGGCAGCACGCAUGGUUAGAGAUUCCCCUGAUUGGUUGGAUAAGCCUGUUGACUUACAGGAAGUGCUUAUGGAAAAGCUGUUUGCCUUUUGUGGUCGCAUGGAAUUGGAGUGUGACAGUAAAGAAGAUAGUCUCACCUGUCAAGUUGCGAUACAGCUUUUAAAUGAGAAUUCUAAACUUGCCAGUCUGAAAAAAAGUGAAGAGUUUUUUCAGUGCUUGAAAACUGAUGUGGGACAUCAACUAGAGAUUGUCCAUUCCAUCAUACUGGAUGAUUACAUGAAAAGAAAGAGGGGCAGUGAUAAAGAAAUAAAUGUGAAUACAGUAGAAACUCAAACAGUCUCUUUGGUUGAGGUAGAACACCAUGAAUGUGACCAAUCUAGUUUAGUCCCACUCACUAUCGCUCCACAAGCUACAAGUGUGAGUGUGUUGGUAGUUACCUGCCAAAACACCACCCCUGCACUUUCUGUGCUCAACACCUCAGUGAUUUCCUCUGUCGGAUUAUGUGUAGCACCCGCUGCCUUGGACUCAUCCCCACAGCAGCCUAGCAUUGUCACAUGUGUUCACCCUUCGAAUGAAACUUCAAUCACAUGUGCUCACCCUUCGAAUGAAACUUCAAUCACAUGUGUUCACCCUUCGAAUGAAACUUGUGAGCCUCUGAAUAGCAUUCCAUUUUCAAGUGCUGGUCUAAUUCCUUCAUUUCAGAACUCUUUUAAAAGCUUCUCAGUCCUACCAAAGAAACAGAUCUCUGGAGGUUCUUUUGAAGUUCAAGCCAAGAGCUUGACUAACUUUCCAAGUGCCUUUGGUUCCCAAAGCAGCACUACCAUCCAUGAUAACCUUUGUCCUGAUCAUACAGCCCCAAAUCUUUCCCCUAGCCCUCAGGAGAAAACAUCUUUGGCGUCUUCAGCUACCACAUCAAGGAAACCCUUUGAUGCAACAAUCAAAGACAUACUUAAUAAAAUCAAUAACCUAGACUACGCUCGGGAUUCCUUGAAACCGAUAGAGAAAAAAACCCAAAUGGAUGCAGUUUCUUCCAUCGCCAGCACAACUAAGUUGGUGGAUCCAAUCAGAGGCGCACAUAGUCUGAUCAUGAACCCUCCUAUAGGAGUGGAUGCCUUAAGAAAUGGCAGCAGACCAUCAUCUGUCAUGGUUGUACCACAAAUAAUAGUGUCAGCAUCUGAGUUUGAUAGGAAUUCUGCCAUGGGCUCUCAAGAAGCUAAGGUUUUCAAUCCUUUCAGGGUCUACAAUGGUCCAGUUAAUAGGGCACCCUUGACUGGUCUUGGUUCUAAUCCUGCUCCUGUAAACGUUUCAACUAACUCAAGUAACCAGUCCUCAAAAAAAAGUCUUGCUAGUUCAAUCACAAGCAACCAAAUUCAAAGCAAUACUUCCCCUGAAACUGGGCUAUCAGCUUUAGAUCAAUAUUUAUUUGAGUCAAAUUCAGUUGGGAGUCAGUCUGACAGUUCCUGCUCGAUCUUUAGCUAUGCAGAUAAAAGUGUCUCAAAAUCCUCAAUAUUGAGCUUAAAAAAGAGGCCGCGACCAAUUGAUUUGAGGCGAAAGCAAACUAAUAAGCCAGCUUCUGGUGCACAACCUUUGGAAGUGAUUCACUCCUCAGAGUCUGUCUACAAACCGAAAAAAGAAAUUGAUUGGUGGCUGGCAAACAUGGAGAAUGUCAACAUGCUGAAUGAGCAGUCUUGUCCACCUGUCACUGUUGGGCAGAAAGAAACGCAGAUCAACAAAGCAAUGUCAGUCACCAGUAAAGGUGAAAAAACUAGACAGAAUAUAUACUUGACUCCUAUGCAAAGAAAGAGAAAGAGCUUAAUGUCUCUGGAGUCAAAAAGUUCUACUAAUCCUGGAAAUGAAACCAAUCCAAACUCCAUGCAAGUUUCAAGUUCUCAUUUUGUCAGAUCUGUGGCUCAAAGUGUUCCAAGCAAUUCAUAUUCUUCUUCAUCAAUGCUUUCUUGUGCACCGCAGUCUUUUCCUGGUUAUGUCCAUUCUUCAAUAGGAGACCAAACUUUUGUUCCAUCAAGAAGUGUUUAUGACAUGGCAACCGGCCAACCUAGUAAGACACUAAGUCUGUCAGAAAAGGCAUGGUCCCCACAAAAAUUAUUUGGUGAUACAUAUUCAACUAUAUACCAAACUUCAAUUUCGAAAACUUCAUUAAGCAAUGACAAAGCAUGGGUCUCUCAAAGCUUAACUGGCAAUGCAUAUUCCUCAUCAGCAGGCCAAAAUUCCAUUCCAUCCCUCAUAAAUUUAUCAAUCCAACCGCAAGUUCCAUCACUCCUAAAUUUAUCAAGUCAAACAUCGAUUCCAUCUCUCCUAAAUACAUCAAGUCAAACAUCAAUUCCAUCUCUCCUAAAUACAUCCAGUGUGACACAUGGCACAGCAUCUGUCCAGACUAGCAAGCCACUUAGUUUAAAAGAAAAGGCAUGGCUCCCUCAUAGUUUAUCUUCUAAUUUAAACUCGUAUGAACAAUCCGGCAAUCCAUCAAGCCUUGUGGGCAACACAGAAAGCUCGGCUAGCAAAGACUGUUCUGCAGCAGUAGUUGGGAAAUUAGCCAAGACACAAAAUCAAAAAACAAAUGUCUUUGCUGAGAGGUAUCAGUUACCCACCUCUUGGUCGAACCUCUUUACUACACCAACCAAUUCUGCUGGGGCCAAUCCUAUUUCUGAUUUAUUUUCAAAUCUUGCCACACAAAGUGAACGGUAUGACCUUUCCGUCCCACACAGCUUGUCAGAAAAGCCAGAAACUUGCCAAAAAUCGACUGAUAAGGUUCUCUAUUAUGACAGCCUUGACACAUUUUCUGAUAGCUUGGUUCAAUGCCGGGACUUUGAGAGAGCCAUUAAGUGCCCUAAUGUCUUCGCCAUUGAUUCAUUGAGUGAUUUCCCAUCUUGCAACAGAAAUCAGUACCAGGCAAAUAGUGUUGCAGAACUGGAGGAUAAAGAAAUAAAAGACCCAAUCCCCUGGAAAAGUGGCAAGAGUGACACAGAGAGGACUAGCUGCUAUGGCCUGGAUGAAAUCAGCUUGACAGAUGAGAAAGGUGUUCUAAGAAGCCAGAAACUUGCUUGUGAAGAGGAAACUUGGAUAAAGGUAUCAGGUCAAAAAGAAGAUUCUGUGGAUGAUCAAUUGAUUGAUUUUCGCUUGCAAGAAAAAUAUUCUAAUCUAAUCAAGGUCAUACUUGGCGCUCAUGAAGGUCUGACCAGAGAAGAAGCAAAGACAGCUCUAGAGCUUGUAUACAUUAACACAGACUUCUUGAAGGGCAUGCGUCAGCCACAAAUUCUAGAACAAGUCAGCAUUGCUCUUCAGGAGCUUUAUCCUGAGAAAAUGAAGGAAAAUGCAAACACUAAAGAGGACAAAGAAAUGAUGCAGAGGUUCACUACUGUGAAAACAAACUUGGAUUCUGCCAAGCCACCCACUGGCAAAGCCAAAUCUGUCAAGAAAGUCAAGCGAGCCAAGCUGAGUGAAGGGGCGGGCGGCAAAUGUGAUACUCAGGGAAGCAAAGAAAGUCGCAGAGACAGCAACGACAGCAGAUGCGAUGGAUCUGCUGCAGAAGAGAGCUCAUCCAAGGGUGAGGGCAGAGAUGAGCCAACAAGGCACAAGGAGCCUGAAGUCAACAUGAGCUCCAGUUUUAGCAGUGAUACUGGUAAUACCACUUAUACUUACAACCCUGCUGAUAGACGUUUUAGUCAGUGGGGAACAAAGCCUUCAGCCUCGAAAGAAGCUAAUUGCAGGGUUAUGUGAAGACCUAUUUUUGAACUGUUCUAUGAGGUGCCAUUUUAUCUCACUUUUUUUUUUUGAAUUGCUGUUUUUCUAGAUUCAGAGUCGGUUAACUCAACAGAGAGAAACCUGAGUGAACUGGACUAACAGCAGGACUUUUAGGCACAUAAGUAGUGCUCUCCCUUACCAGCCAAAUUAAUUGUGCCACUCAGACAUUGCUGUUAUUUUUUUUUUUUUUUUUUU